UCACGAGGUUUUAGUGGCGAC
rnacentral:siRNA from 1 species